GGGAGGCAGCAGUAGGGAAUCUUCCGCAAUGGACGAAAGUCUGACGGAGCAACGCCGCGUGAGUGAUGAAGGUUUUCGGAUCGUAAAGCUCUGUUGUUAGGGAAGAACAAGUACCGUUCGAAUAGGGCGGUACCUUGACGGUACCUAACCAGAAAGCCACGGCUAACUACGUGCCAGCAGCCGCGGUAAUACGUAGGUGGCAAGCGUUGUCCGGAAUUAUUGGGCGUAAAGGGCUCGCAGGCGGUUUCUUAAGUCUGAUGUGAAAGCCCCCGGCUCAACCGGGGAGGGUCAUUGGAAACUGGGGAACUUGAGUGCAGAAGAGGAGAGUGGAAUUCCACGUGUAGCG
rnacentral:rRNA from 2 species